AACGCGAAGAACCUUACCUGCUCUUGACAUGCUAGGAAGAUUCCAGAGAUGGGAUUGUGCCUUCGGGAACCUAGACACAGGUGCUGCAUGGCUGUCGUCAGCUCGUGUCGUGAGAUGUUGUCUUAAGUGACGCAACGAGCGCAACCCUUACUACUAGUUGCCAUAAUUAAGUUUGGAACUCUAGUGGGACUGCCGGUGCUAAGCCGGAGGAAGGUGGGGAUGACGUCAAGUCCUCAUGGCCCUUAUGAGCAGGGCUUCACACGUCAUACAAUGGUAGGUACAGACGGUUGCCAACCCGCGAGGGGGAGCUAAUCUGAGAAAGCCUAUCGUAGUCCGGAUUGUAGUCUGCAACUCGACUACAUGAAGUCGGAAUCGCUAGUAAUCGCAGAUCAGAAUGCUGCGGUGAAUACGUUCUCGGGCCUUGUACACACCGGAGUA
rnacentral:rRNA from 1 species